AGAAUCAACGCUGGCGGCGUGCCUAACACAUGCAAGUCGAACGCGAAAGCCCCGCAAGGGUAAGUAGAGUGGCAAACGGGUGAGUAACACGUGGGUGACCUGCCUUCGAGUGGGGGAUAACGUCCCGAAAGGGACGCUAAUACCGCAUGACAUCCUGCUUUUGGAAAAGCGGAGAUCAAAGCUGGGGAUCGCAAGACCUGGCGCUUGGAGAGGGGCCCGCGCCUGAUUAGCUAGUUGGUAGGGUAACGGCCUACCAAGGCAACGAUCAGUA
rnacentral:rRNA from 1 species